CUCCAUAUGACGAGUCCCAAACAGGACGAAACUCACACCCUGGAU
rnacentral:hammerhead_ribozyme from 1 species